CCCUUAGAUGUUCUGGGCCGCACGCGCGUUACACUGACUGCUCCAACAAGUUACCUGGGCUGACAAGCAUCCGGGAAAUCUUGCAAAGGCAGUCGUGAUGGGGAUAGAUUCUUGUAAUUUUUGAUCUUCAACGAGGAAUUCCUAGUAAACGCAAGUCAUCAGCUUGCAUUGAUUACGUCCCUGCCCUUUGUACACACCGCCCGUCGCAUCUACCGAUUGAAUGGAGAGGCAAAAUCUUCGGACCGUGACGCUUGGGAGUCGAAUCUCGGGCUGUCGUGGGAAGUGGAUUAAACCUUUCUAUUUAGAGGAAGGUAAAGUCGUAACA
rnacentral:rRNA from 1 species